GAUGAAGAACGCAGCGAAAUGCGAUAAGUAGUGUGAAUUGCAGAAUUCAGUGGAUCAUCGAAUCUUUGAACGCACAUUGCGCCCCUUGGUAUUCCAUGGGGCAUGCCUGUUCGAGCGUCAUUUGUACCUUCAAGCUUUGCUUGGUGUUGGGUGUUUGUCUCGCCUUUGCGUGUAGACUCGCCUUAAAAUAAUUGGCAGCCGGCGUAUUGAUUUCGGAGCGCAGUACAUCUCGCGCUUUGCACUCAUAACGACAGCGUCCAAAAGUACAUUUUACACUCUUGACCUCGGAUCAGGUAGGGAUACCCGCUGAACUUAAGCAUAUCAAUAAGCGGAGGA
rnacentral:misc_RNA from 1 species